GAUGAAGAACGUAGCGAAAUGCGAUAAGUAAUGUGAAUUGCAGAAUUCAGUGAAUCAUCGAAUCUUUGAACGCAACUUGCGCCCUCUGGUAUUCCGGAGGGCAUGCCUGUUUGAGUGUCAUGUAGACUCAAUCCCUCGGGUUUCUGAGGAGGUUGGAUUUGGGUGCUUGCCUUCUGGCUCGCCUUAAAGGACUUAGCAGGAUAGCACUGUAGUCGACGUAAUAAGUCUCGUCGGUGAAAGUGUGAUGUCUGCUUACAGAUUGCCCUUGGGCACUUUUGACUCUGACCUCAAAUCAGGUAGGACUACCCGCUGAACUUAAGCAUAUCAAUAAGCGGAGGA
rnacentral:misc_RNA from 1 species